AACAAAUUUUACAUUUCACCCAUGGUGCAUGUGCAGGUGUGCGCAUGCGCAGCAGAGACCUGAAGACCAGUUGGCCAGUGGGAGGCGGAGCAUCCCAACACCGGCAGCGCGGCAAGAGGCUACAAUGAGGACUAACGCUAAUGAGGUUACCUAGUUUGGGGUAAUAAAAUGUCUGCAAGAAAAGAGCUGAAGAAGCUUCUUGGAUGAGAAGCGAAACGUCUUCAAAGGAAGAAAAAAAAAAGUCCAGUUGCCUUUUGAAAAAGCACCUUUGGGACCACCAUGGCCUGGAUGUAGAUCUCCACAGACGUCUGCAAGAAAACAACCAAGCUCGGAGAAUACCAAGGUCCUCUGCUGGACCUCUGUAAUCUGCAUCUGUCGACUCAGCCUUCCAGCCUUCCCAGGUUGGUAAAAUGAGGACCCAAACUGUUGGGGCCAAGAUGCUGACUCUGUAAGCUGCUUAGAGAGGGCUGUAAAGCAGUGUGAAGCGGUAUAUAAGUCUACGUCCUUUCCUUUCCUUUCCUUUCCUCUCCUCUCCUCUCCUUCCCAUCCUUUCCUUUCCUUUCCUUUCCUUUCCUUUCCUUUCCUUUCUUGUGCAAUGGUUAGAAUGCAGUAUUGCAGGCUUACUCUGCCCACUGCCAGGAGUUCGAUUCUCACUGGCUCAAGGUUUACUCAGCCUUCCAUCCUUCUGAAGUCAGUAAAACGAAGAUCCAGAUUGUUGUUGCGGGCAGUAGGCUGACUUAGGGCUGUAAAGCACCGCGAAGCCGUAUAGAAGUCUAAGCGCUAUUGCUGUUUUUAUUCUCCCAACCAAAUCCAGGGCAUUCUCCCAACAAGCAUCCCUGGGAGAUUUCAAGGGGCCUCUUAC